CAAAUGACUCUCGGCAAUGGAUAUCUCGGCUCUUGCAUCGAUGAAGAACGUAGUGAAAUGCGAUACUUGGUGUGAAUUGCAGAAUCUCAUGAACCAUUGAGUCUUUGAACGCAAGUUGUGCCCGAGGCCUUGUGGUCGAGGGCACGCCUGCUUGGGUGUCAUGAC
rnacentral:rRNA from 1 species